ACUCCUGCGGGAGGCAGCAGUGGGGAAUAUUGGACAAUGGGCGCAAGCCUGAUCCAGCCAUGCCGCGUGAGUGAUGAAGGCCCUAGGGUUGUAAAGCUCUUUCACCGGUGAAGAUAAUGACGGUAACCGGAGAAGAAGCCCCGGCUAACUUCGUGCCAGCAGCCGCGGUAAUACGAAGGGGGCUAGCGUUGUUCGGAUUUACUGGGCGUAAAGCGCACGUAGGCGGACUAUUAAGUCAGGGGUGAAAUCCCGGGGCUCAACCCCGGAACUGCCUUUGAUACUGGUAGUCUUGAGUUCGAGAGAGGUGAGUGGAAUUCCGAGUGUAGAGGUGAAAUUCGUAGAUAUUCGGAGGAACACCAGUGGCGAAGGCGGCUCACUGGCUCGAUACUGACGCUGAGGUGCGAAAGCGUGGGGAGCAAACAGGAUUAGAUACCCGUGUAGUCCC
rnacentral:rRNA from 1 species